rnacentral:rRNA from 1 species
UAAUACGGAGGAUCCAAGCGUUGUCCGGAUUUAUUGGGUUUAAAGGGUGCGUAGGCGGAUCUUUAAGUCAGUGGUGAAAGCCUGCAGCUUAACUGUAGAACAGCCAUUGAAACUGAAGAUCUUGAAUAUGGUUAAAGUAGGCGGAAUGUAUCAUGUAGCGGUGAAAUGCUUAGAUAUGAUACAGAACACCGAUAGCGAAGGCAGCUUGCUGAACCAUUAUUGACGCUGAGGCACGAAAGCGUGGGGAGCGAACAGGAUUAGAUACCCUGGUAGUCCACGCCCUAAACGUUGAUUACUCGUUGUUGGCGAUAUACUGUCAGCGACCAAGCUAAAGCGUUAAGUAAUCCACCUGGGAAGUACGACCGCAAGGUUG